rnacentral:tRNA from 1 species
GGAGGGUAUAGCUGAGUGGUAGAGUGUGUGCUUAGCAUGCACAAGGUCCUGGGUUCAAUCCCCAGUACCUCCA